GACGAACGCUGGCGGCGUGCUUAACACAUGCAAGUCGAACGGAAAGGCCCUGCUUUUGUGGGGUGCUCGAGUGGCGAACGGGUGAGUAACACGUGAGUAACCUGCCCUUGACUUUGGGAUAACUUCAGGAAACUGGGGCUAAUACCGGAUAGGAGCUCCUGCUGCAUGGUGGGGGUUGGAAAGUUUCGGCGGUUGGGGAUGGACUCGCGGCUUAUCAGCUUGUUGGUGGGGUAGUGGCUUACCAAGGCUUUGACGGGUAGCCGGCCUGAGAGGGUGACCGGCCACAUGAGGACUGAGAUACGGCCCAGACUCCAACGGGAGGCAGCAGUGGAGAAUAUUACACAGUGGGCGGAAGCCUGAUGCAGCAACGCCGCGUUCGGGAUGACGGCCUUCGGGUUGUAAACCGCUUUCGCCUGUGACGAAGCGUGAGUGACGGUAAUGGGUAAAGAAGCACCGGCUAACUACGUG
rnacentral:rRNA from 1 species